CGUCACUUCCGGUCCCCGCCGAUCUCCAUAUUUAAUGCUGGCAAAAGCCAGCCAGUCUCCAUUUCGUCAGUCCAUAAUAAAGGGGGCAUUGUAAGGGCGGGAAAUCAUACAGACAUACACACACAUACAUACAAAUACACAGACAGACAUACACACACACAUACAGAGAAACAUUUAUACAGACACGCAUACACAAACACACACAUAUACAGACACAUGCAAACAGACACACAUACAAAAUGUUUUAGUCACCCUCCUGUUUCCUACCUUUUAGGUGCAGGAGGGUGACUUUCCUUGGGGUCCAGUGGCUCAGGCUGAUGGGAGUCAGAGUUUCCAGAGUUUUCCGUUUAGUAUAUAUGAGAAAACACAAUAGAACACAAUAGAAAGGUCUUAUGGUAUAGUAUGUAUAUACACAAAGUAAAGGAUAAAAAGUGG